GUGGUCAUCACAUAUUACUCUUCCUGUUCAAGAAUCCUUCAGGGUAUUUUGUCCAUUUUACAGGUGAGCAAACUGAGGCAUGGAUUAAAGCAUUCCCUGCAGGAUCUCCUGACUCCAGUAGUGUUUAAUAAACCACUCUUGCAGCAGGCUCAGGAGUGAGUAGGGUGUGUCUCUUCUACUUAGCCAUGAAGGAAUCCAGGGUAACGGUCAUUCUUUCUCUACUACUUGGCUCCCAAGGUCUUGCUGGGGUGAUGGUCCCUGUCAUCUGGAAGGGGAGUCAAACCUAGAGUAUGUGUUGCAGGAUUGAAUGUUCCAUUUCCUCUCAUAUUGUGCUAGAGAAAAAUUUUAGUCCCAUGGCCACACUAAGACCAGAGAGGCUCAGAGAGUGAUGUUCUGUUCCCAGUAUUAAAAACACUGUUGAUUUUGGUGAGCAGAUGACAGCCUGAAACCUCAGACUGUUUUUAAUUCCUACUCAUGCAAAUAUUCACUCUGAAAGUACCAUCAAAGUAAAUAGACAUCAUCAAAGGCAAAAUCAUUUCCCAAAAUUGAGAAUGAAGGAUGUGGGGAUGGGGAUGUGGCUCACUGGUAGAGUGCUUGCCUACCAUGCACAAGACCCUGAGUAGGAUCCCCAGCACAAUGCCCACUGCAGAAUGGAAGAUGCAUUUUAAGUACAGUCAGUUUGCCUGAAGGAAAUCCUCAGAGACAAUCAAAGGCUAUGAAGGAAGGUAGGAUGGGAGACGAGACCUGCUGCCCUUGCAGGGAGAGUUCUCUCCAAUCUCCAUGUUCCUCUGUUCCUUCAAUGCUGUGCAAAAGGUCUUGGCUCAUAUAUGCCAAGAUUGAUGUUUUUAAGACACCAUGCCCUUUGGGAUCUGUAUUAGGGAUCUCUAGAGGAACAGGACCAACAAGAGAUACACACACACACACACACACACACACACACAUACAUAUUGCAUAUACUAUAUAUGUAUAUACAUACAUAUAUACAUACACAUAUAGUUUAGUUAUAGUUACAGUUAUAAAAGGGGACUUAUUAGAUUGGCUUACAGAAUCAGAAACUAGAUAGUUCCACAGUGGCCACCUGCAGAUUGGAGAGCUGGGGAAACCAGUAGCUUCUCAGUCCAAAAAGCCAGAGCCUGAGAAGAAAAGUGACCACUGAUGCAGCCCCAGUCUGGGACUGCAGGCCUGGGAACUCCCUGGAGUCAUAGCAGCAACCCAAACACCCACCUGAGAGAGAGAGAAAAAUGGCGCCUGCAUCCAUGUUGGCUUCCUCCUCUCUUGACCCUCCUUCCAUCCUGGCCCCAGCCCAUUCAGCCACACCACCCAUAUUUAGGAUGGGUCUACCCUCUCAGUUUCCUGUCUCACAUGUCAGUACACCCUCAUCAACACACACACACACACACAAAGUCUCCUAAUUCAAUCAAGUUGACCAUCCAUAUCAACAAUCGCAGGGUCCCACCCAAAGGAAAGGGCAAGUUCAUCUUUCUUGGGGUCUGCAGAGAACUGCUAGGACCUUGACUCCAAAUUUUAGAGAAAUGAUAUGUUCUUCAGGCCAGAAGCAUAGCAGACAAAACAGGAUUCUAGAAUUCCCUUCACCAGGAUUGCUUCUUAGGAUCCAGGAAGCAGAGUGCUGAGAUAAAAGCUUGAAGAAUAUGAUGGAAGUACCCACAUCAAGGGAGGUCAGAGGUGAGGCCAGAAGCUAGAUAACCAGAUUAUUAGGUCUCUUCUCUGGCAAAAAGAGAUAAAUACUUUCUUAUUUCAAAACUGUUGUGCAGUUCCCCUUCCCUUUCCUAAGGCAAUAGUGCACAACUUAAGGUAUUUUUUGCUUCAAAAAUUUGAAUGAAAAACUCCACACUGUGGAUUAUUUUUCUUCUGCAGCACACAUGUUUAUCAAAUGUUCUCUUGUCCUUGGAAAACAAUUUUUUUCUAUAAUUUUGAAAAAUCGUCUUGCAAAAAAAAAAAACCAACUUUAAAUAUUGUUAUGGUUUGGAUGUAAGGCGUCCCCCAAAAGCUCACAUGUGAGACAAUAUAAGAAGGUUCAGAGGAGAAAUGAUUGGGUUGUAAGAGUCUUACCCCAAUCAGUGAAUGGAUCCCCUGACAGAAUUAACUGAGUGGUAACUGAAGUGGUAGGGUGUGGCUGGAGGAGGUGGGAAUUGGGGAUGUGGCUUUGGAGUAUAUAUUUAUAUUUAGCAACUGGAGUCUCUCUCUGCUUUCUGAUCAGCAUGUGAGCUGCUUCCCUCUGCCACAGUCUUCCUCCAUGAUAUUCUACCUUACCUUGAGCCCUGAGGAAUGGAGCCAGCCUUGUAUGGACUAACACCUCUGAACCGUGAGCUCUCAAAUAAACUUUUCCUCCUUUACAAUUGUUCUGGUUGGGUCUCUUAGUCACAGCAGCAAAAAAGCUGAUUAAAACAAAUAUGAAUGCUUUCAUUUACAAAAUCGUUUCAAAUAUUUACUCUUUUAACAAGAGGUAAACAGGAAAGGGUCUUGCUUCCGGCCAUUUUCCAUAGAAGGACCAAGAUGCAGAUAAGUCCAGAGGUCUGUGGUCCAGAGGCCAGACCGGGACUCAGUCUUGAACCCCCACACUGUGCUGUUCAGCCUCACUCUAUAACCAAUCACAAGGGAGCCCUGAAGCUACAUACAGGUCAUUGAGAUGUGCAUGGGAGAGGAAAGGAAAUCUCACCAGCUGGGGGCACUGAAGGGCAUUACCCUUGGUUGGUCAAGCAGCAGGAAGCUGGCAGUUCACCAAACACACAUCUCCAGCACUCACAGCCCUGGGCAGGCACCCUCAGGCCACAAGAGUGUCCCCAAGAGUCCAUGAUGGCCUUUCUUCUACCACCCAUUCUCUUUGCAGCCCCGUUUCUUUUGUUGUGAGGCCUUCAAAAGUUUUUUUUUCUCAAUAUCCUGCCUUGUUCUGUUUUCCUGUGCCCAGCUCAUUACUC
rnacentral:lncRNA from 1 species